GCAGCCUGAUCCAGCCAUACCGCGUGGGUGAAGAAGGCCUUCGGGUUGUAAAGCCCUUUUGUUGGGAAAGAAAUCCAGCUGGCUAAUACCCGGUUGGGAUGACGGUACCCAAAGAAUAAGCACCGGCUAACUUCGUGCCAGCAGCCGCGGUAAUACGAAGGGUGCAAGCGUUACUCGGAAUUACUGGGCGUAAAGCGUGCGUAGGUGGUCGUUUAAGUCCGUUGUGAAAGCCCUGGGCUCAACCUGGGAACUGCAGUGGAUACUGGGCGACUAGAGUGUGGUAGAGGGUAGCGGAAUUCCUGGUGUAGCAGUGAAAUGCGUAGAGAUCAGGAGGAACAUCCAUGGCGAAGGCAGCUACCUGGACCAACACUGACACUGAGGCACGAAAGCGUGGGGAGCAAACAGGAUUAGAUACCCUGGUAGUCCACGCCCUAAACGAUGCGAACUGGAUGUUGGGUGCAAUUUGGCACGCAGUAUCGAAGCUAACGCGUUAAGUUCGCCGCCUGGGGAGUACGGUCGCAAGAC
rnacentral:rRNA from 1 species